GGUAGGAGUGCAGAUCCACAGCAACUCGCUCCGGGUCCUUGUACUUAUUUCCCCAACUUUGGGUUGCUAGAAGGAGCAUCAAGACUUCCGGGUCAGGUGUCAGCAAGCGUCCCGAGACUUCAGCCCCAAGGCCCUGCUCUGUCUCCACUUGAGGAAGAGCCAACCUCUAAUUCAACUGCAAUUCCAGCUCCUGGGCAGAGGCCUGAGGGGUGAGCACAAACUGUGGCCAUCUGAGGGACAGCACUUGCCUAGAGUUCUAGUGCAGCUCCAGGUGACUACUUCCGCCCAGCUCACUGUGGCCAUCUGAGGAAGGGAGCGCACCAACAUUACAGCCCCAAAUCGUUUUCCCUUCAUUGCUUGAAGACUUCAUCCCCAGCUCCAUCUCCAUCUGAG